rnacentral:rRNA from 1 species
UACGUAGGGUGCAAGCGUUAAUCGGAAUUACUGGGCGUAAAGCGUGCGCAGGCGGUUGUGCAAGACCGAUGUGAAAUCCCCGGGCUUAACCUGGGAAUGGCAUUGGUGACUGCACGGCUAGAGUGUGUCAGAGGGGGGUAGAAUUCCACGUGUAGCAGUGAAAUGCGUAGAGAUGUGGAGGAAUACUGAUGGCGAAGGCAGCCCCCUGGGAUAACACUGACGCUCAUGCACGAAAGCGUGGGGAGCAAACAGG